rnacentral:rRNA from 1 species
CAGGAUGAACGCUGGCGGCGUGCCUAAUACAUGCAAGUCGAACGGUCUUUCUAUGGAAGCUUGCUUCCACUGAGAAGAUAGUGGCGAACGGGUGAGUAACACGUGGGUAACCUGCCCAUAAGAGGGGGGAUAACAUCCGGAAACGGGUGCUAAUACCGCAUAGUUUUCUUGAUCGCAUGAUUGGGAAAGGAAAGACGGCCUUUGUGCUGUCGCUUAUGGAUGGACCCGCGGCGUAUUAGUUAGUUGGUGAGGUAACGGCUCACCAAGACGAUGAUACGUAGCCGACCUGAGAGGGUGAUCGGCCACAUUGGGACUGAGACACGGCCCAAACUCCUACGGGAGGCAGCAGUAGGGAAUCUUCCGCAAUGGACGAAAGUCUGACGGAGCAACGCCGCGUGAGUGAAGAAAGGGUUUUCGGAUCGUAAAACUCUGUUGUCAGAGAAGAACAAGUUGGAGAGUAACUGCUCCAGCCUUGACGGUAUCUGACCAGAAAGCCACGGCUAACUACGUGCCAGCAGCGGC